UUACGGUCAUAUCACGUUGAAACACCGGUUCUCGUAUGAUCAUUAAAGUUAAGCCACAACAAGCCUAGUCAGUACCUAGGUGGGCGACCGCUUGGGAAUAUCAGGUGCUGUAAG